rnacentral:misc_RNA from 1 species
CAGCAGUAGAAACCCUAACGAAGA